rnacentral:antisense_RNA from 12 species
GAUAACCAUAAAUAACUGCUGGAUUGAGAGUUGGGCCUGUCACCAGGCGGACGGUUCCCGUUCCCGCAUCAUACAGUCCACCCCAAUACAUGGCUUUGCCAACUCGCUAUAAGGCCCCUAAUCCUAGAAAUAGCAGAUGAUGUCCUAAAAUCAACCCCAACUGCUUGGGAUCGUCCCA